UCCAUUAAGCCAAGGACGGUUUUCUCUAAAUCUUCCAUAUUAGAUGACGGCUGAAGGAACCGAUUUUAGAACAGAAACCGUUCAGUAGCAGUGAGAGUGAUAAUCAAUUUAGAGAAUGGCUGCAUUCACCCCGAGAUCAUUCUUAAGGCAGGACCUCCACCACGGCUCCUCCGUCGGCUCUCGUCCACCAUGGCGCCGUCGGCUCUCGUCCACCAUGGCUCCUCCGUCGGCUCUCGUCCACCAUGGCGCCGUCGGCUCUCGUCCACCACGGCUUCUCCGUCGGCUCUCGUCCACCAUGGCUCCGUCGGCUGUCGUCCACCAUGGCUCCGUCGGCUGUCGUCCAACAUGGCUCCGUCGGCUCUCCUCCAUCAGCCCUCCUCCUCCACCAACGCUCCGUCGGCUCUCGUCCACCAUGGCUCCGUCGGCUCUCGUCCACCAUGGCUCCGUCGGCUCUCGUCCACCAUGGCUCCUCCGUCGGCUCUCGUCCACCAUGGCGCCGUCGGCUCUCGUCCACCAUGGCGCCGUCGGCUCUCGUCCACCAUGGCGCCGUCGGCUCUCGUCCAUCAGCCCUCCUCCUCCACCAACGCGUCCUGACCUAACAUCAAACAGCAGUAGUUGGGUCCAAAAUCUGGUAACAAAGCCGGGGAGGUCAAACCUGCACACCCUUGCAUUUGUAAAGGGGAUAAAAUAUGUAACUUCCUUAAGUUUACAUGUUGACUCGUUGAGAAAUGUAUAAACUACUACUGUCAGAAUGAAAAUCUGAGAAAGAUAAUAAAAAAUAAUCAGCCUCAACAAAUAGUUUCAGAGCGGCUUGGAGAUGGUUACCCUGGUCCACCCUGCUGCCCCAUUUCUGGUCCAGGUAGUGGGGUUACCCUCUGGUUCCCAGCCUCAGGUCCACCCAGCUGUGUUGUACAAUAUUUAACUAAACCUUGGGAGACGACGUGCCAUUUCUAAACUGCUGUAAAUUAGCUUUAUUAAUCAACUACAUUUACAUUGAGGGCAUUUACCAGAUGCUUUUAAACAAAGCGAUGAGUACAUUUUUCAGAAGGAGAAGCAAUAAACUAGACACAGGUUGGACGUCUUCAGGAAGCGGACUCCCAAACACUAAAUCAAGGUACUGAACCAUCAUAAUCAAGCACAUUAACGUCCAAUAUACAUCCUUUUAACACAAAAAUCAACAUUGAUCGGAAGGCACUUACACCGAUAGAGCCUGGUUCAACGGCUGGGCCACAUCUCCUCCCACCGACCACGCUGCAGAGAUCACCGAGAAGAUCAUAAUGUUAUAAAAGAUGGGUAAAUACUGUGGGAAUCAAUGGGAAAGCUUCAAUAUCAAACACUCACAUGUGCGGUUGGAUGGACAUCUUCUGCGUCAUACAGGAUCAGGACUGCAAGGCCUGGAGUUUCCCCCGUCUGUAAGCACAACAUUCAUCCAUUUAAAAACACGACGCGCUUUACAUCACUGCCUCACCAAUAAUAAACUGAACAUCAAUAUAAGAGUUCUUGGUCACUACGUAUCUUAGUUGCCUAGUUUGAUUUAUUCAAAAGUCAAAGGUUUAUGGUAGUAUUUGCGCAACAAUUAACUUUACUUUUCUAAACAGCUAUGCCAUUUGAUAAUACGUGAAUAAGCACACUUACAUUUAACCCUUCCUUUUGUUUCUGAAGUCUAGCAGAAACUAUAUUGAGCAGAUCACAGCCCAGAUAUUUAGAACACUAGCAAUAUCAAUAGUAAUUUAGAUAGUAAAAUGAUACUUAGCCACAUUCAGCUGCUGGGUUGUUGAAGAACUAAAAAGCAGUAGUAGGUAAAUGCCGUUGUCUCCAUCUUUUACGCGACCCGAUAAAUGUAUGCGCAGAAAAUCGAGAGUUGAUUGUAGAGCGCAGUUAUCAAAGUAGUUUGCGGUAUUUUGUGGGAUAAUUAAAAAUAUAUAUAUUUUAAGAGUGCCCUUCCUAAUUUCUAGUGCAAAAGGAUUUACCAAUAAUCGCAAAUGGUUACCUAUUGAAAUGGGGCACUGCCAGAUUACCUUAAUUGGGUACGCUCAAUAGUUAAGAGGUUUACGCAAAUGCCAAUAUUGAUCAUACUGCCAGACGCCAUAAUAAGGUGUGGAUGACAUAACGCAAUUGCCAAUCCUGAUCGUACUGCCAGACGCCAUAAUAAGGUGUGGAUGACAUAACGCAAUUGCCAAUCCUGUUCGUACUGCCAGUUAUCCCCCCAGGUGACUCAACAUCCACCACACAGUACUGCAGCAUCAGAGCUUCACAGACUGCACAAAAACUACCAACCUCUACAGAAACGCCAAGCCCCGUCAUACUGGAAUCGUAACGUUCCAGUACGAACCACCCCUAAGUAACGUAACCAGCACCUCACCUUGAGCUGAACGACGAUGAAGAUGUUGUGGUCGUCUCAUUGCAAAAUACAGCCAACAGACUUACCUUGAGGCGAUCUGGUAGUUUGUUGCUGUUGGUUUAUGUACAAAUCAUUUUGACUAAACAUUUCAGUUACCCCAUUUAACUAACUACCUACAAAUUAACAAUGCUUGCCAGUGUACAAAAAAAGCUAACUAAUCUGUCUUUUGGCUACUUCCUCGCUUCACAUCGCAUGAGCAUUGUCAUAUUGAUCCGGGUGUGGUCUGAGUGGCCAGAGAUGCAUGUUAGGAUACUGUGCUGUCUGAAGUCUAUUGUUCUGUAGACGUGCCCCCCUCCGGAGAAACAGUGUUCAAAAGGGCUGUUGCAUCAGUUACAUGACCUGGAACAUCCGUCAAGACUGUGACAGGGACUCCCCAAGGAGACACGCCAUGGGUAGGAUGUGAGGGCUCUUUCUCAGCGACUAGAAUACACCACAGCGCCUACGGGAGGGAACCAUUGCACACAUUUCAAUAUUCCUCUUCAUAGAUCUUGAAGCCCCAGCGAGGAUUUCUUUUCCUCCUCAGCUGAAGAAGAGCUUGGUUUCAGCAUGAAGAGAACCCUAGUUGGGAUGUUACCAAGAUGGUUUCUGAUUCAAAGGGGGACCCAACUCCCAGGUCCAGCUAGCAUCGACAAAUGCAUUACAAUUCAGCCCAAGAAAAACCUGCAUCCCAGCACAGGAGUCCAGAAGAUACAAUCCACAGGGCCUGCCAGACAACUAUCAUGUCGGGGCUAGAAAGGGCAGCCACGUCGCAGUCUUUCACGCUUGAAGGACUAUUGCCUAAAAAGUUGUGAUGUAUAAUAAGUGCGUAUCCCCAUGUCAUCACGCUCACACAU
ensembl:lncRNA